rnacentral:rRNA from 1 species
UACGAAGGGGGCUAGCGUUGUUCGGAAUCACUGGGCGUAAAGCGCACGUAGGCGGAUUGUUAAGUCGGGGGUGAAAUCCUGAGGCUCAACCUCAGAACUGCCUUCGAUACUGGCGAUCUUGAGUCCGGAAGAGGUUGGUGGAACAGCUAGUGUAGAGGUGAAAUUCGUAGAUAUUAGCUAGAACACCAGUGGCGAAGGCGGCCAACUGGUCCGGAACUGACGCUGAGGUGCGAAAGCGUGGGGAGUGAACAGG